UACAGCCACAUCACGAUGAAACACUAGUUUCCAUAUGAUCACUGAAGUUAAGCAACAUCGAGCCUGGUCAAUAAUUUGAUAGGUAACCACUUGAGAAUACCAGGUGCUA